GUCUAGGGCCAUACCACCCUUAAUGUGCCUGAUCUAGUCUGAUCUCAGAAGCUAAGCAGGUUGGGCCUCGUUAGUACUUGGAUGGAAGAAGGGAAUGCAAGGAAUGGUGAGUCCUAGUUC
rnacentral:rRNA from 1 species